rnacentral:rRNA from 1 species
UAAUGUAUGGGGAUCUGCCCGAUAGAGGGGGAUAACUACUGGAAACGGUAGCUAAUACUGCAUAACGUCGCAAGACCAAAGUGGGGGACCUUCGGGCCUCAUGCCAUCAGAUGUGCCCAGAUGGGAUUAGCUAGUAGGUGGGGUAACGGCUCACCUAGGCGACGAUCCCUAGCUGGUCUGAGAGGAUGACCAGCCACACUGGAACUGAGACACGGUCCAG